rnacentral:rRNA from 1 species
AUUGAACGCUGGCGGCAGGCCUAACACAUGCAAGUCGAACGAGUGGCGGACGGGUGAGUAAUGUCUGGGAAACUGCCCGAUGGAGGGGGAUAACUACUGGAAACGGUAGCUAAUACCGCAUACCAUCGGAUGUGCCCAGAUGGGAUUAGCUUGUAGGUGAGGUAACGGCUCACCUAGGCGACGAUCCCUAGCUGGUCUGAGAGGAUGACCAGCCAAACUGGCACAGGGACAAGGGCCAGACUCCUACGGGAGGCAGCAGUGGGGAAGAUUGGACAAUGGGCGCAAGCCUGGUGCAACCAUUCCGCGUGGAUUGAGCAGGCCUUCGGGUUGUAAAGUACUUUCAGCGGGGAGGCGUUACCCGCAGAAGAAGCACCGGCUAACUCCGUGCCAGCAGCCGCGGUAAUAC